AAGGUAGGGAAGGGAGCAGCAGUAGGGGGUGUGAGGAGAGAAGCAGCAGCAAGGCGAGGGAAGAAGAACAGCAGGGAAGAGGAGCAGCUGGUUCGAGUUGAGAAGUGGAGGAGCAGCAGCAAGGCGAGGGAAGAAGGAGCAGCAGCAAGACGUAGGAGAAGAAGAAGAGCAGCAGGGGCGCGAGGUGCGGGGAAGCGCCGUGGUGCUGGUGACCGCGGUGUGUAUGGAUGAUGGUGGAUUCGGGGAAGGAGAAGAAGAUGGUGGCGCUGGUGGAUGGCGUGGUGAUGUGGUGGGAGGUGCUGGUGGCGCGCCGCCACGCCGGCCUGGCCGCGUCGGCAGCCGGAGGUGGAGAAGGGGGUGUGAGGGAGAGAGUUGAGUAGCCAGGCCCGAUGGGGAAUGGAGGCGAUCUAGGGAUUUUGAUCCCUUCCCUAAUCUGCAAACUUUACACAUUAGCCCUCCUCCUUCUCUUCUUUCUUCACAAGAAGUUCCCUUCUCUCUUUCUUUUGCCCCUCGGUUACUUCAUUCCUUCACGCUCGGGUCCCAUGACACCAUCACUUGUUCAUUUGUAGUAGAGAAAUUUUGUGCCUUGUCGCACUUUUCUGCAAAAUAAACAAGUGACUAGUCAACAAUCCCUUUAUGUGAUUUUCAUUCAAUUAUUCUAUAUUUCAUAGCAAGAAUUGGUGGCCAGAACUCAAGAAAUGCUAAAUUUGUAUGCCAAAAUUAUAUAUAUGAAAUGCACUUAUCAAGUUCCCCCACACUCAAAUCUUUGCUUGUCCUCAAGCAAAGGCAUAUGACAAGGCAUGCUUCAGACUUAGCUAGUGAAAAUUAAUGGUUAGUAGUGGAUCAAAGCAAUAGGAUACUAGUAGACUUGACCAUUUUAAACUUUUACAAUGAUAAAAGAGGAUCAACAAGUUUAAAUGAUGACUGCGCCAAAUGGUUCCUAAAGAGAGCAUGAUCCCGAGAACAAAAAGAACUGGAAUUAAAUCUCUUAUUUGCAGAAAUAUAACUUUGUGGUUGAACCACUUAUUGAAUUUGAAGGAAGUAAUGGUAAUAUUUUAUUGAUCUCACCAAAGGAACAUACCACCGAUCCCGAGAACAUGGUAUACACCCGGCUCGACCAAUUAUAUAGUUUUUUUUGUUUGUCUCCCCAAAGGAACAUACCACCGAUCCCGGGAACAUGGUAUACACCUGGUUCGACAAUAACAUUUUUUUAUUAAUAAUUACUGCCCAAGCUAACCCGAUUUCACAUGCCACCGAUCCCGAGAACAUGACAUGCUACUGUAGGUAGUCAGACUAAUUUAUUCAUCAUUACUUAUCUUAAAUGAACAAUGCAUAAGCACAAAAAUAGGAAUCAUCACUUCUCCAUGUCUGGUUCACAUGCUACCGAUCCAGGGAACAUAGCAUGCUAAUCCAUAGUGGUUAGGUGAUUGCUCUCAAUGGGAACACAUUAGGCACAAACUCAGCAUCUGACACUUAAUGAUCUAGGUGUAUCGAGGUAAAAGCAGAAAAUGAUUAAGUUUUCUAGUGUACUAGGGAUUUGAGCACUCAAAACUAAUAUCUUUCACUACUUUCAGCAAAGCAAGCAUUGUGUAGAUCACUAGUUUGCAAGGCAUUCAACACUCAGUUCACAUAUUCACAUCAAUCACCCUAUGUCGAAGGUAGAAUUCAGUGGGAAGAUAUUUAAGAAAUUGCUCAAGCGACCCAAAUAGCAGUUGAUUACAACAUGCAUCAAUGGAUGAUGAUUUCAAAAUGGGUCAUGAAACAGCUCAUCGGGCUUUGAUGAUGUAGCACUCGCUCGAUCACCUCACCAACUGCAGCUCCUCUCCUUUUGCUUCUUAAUCCUCAUGCCUGCUCCAGCUUCUCUCUUCCAUAUGUGUGUCCCAUUGCUUCUCCUCUUCACCGUGCUCCGAGUCCACCAGGGUCCCAAGGAAUGUCACCUCGAACCUGGUCAGCAUGAAGUGGAUGGUGCAGAAGCAAAAACCUGAAAAGGCACUCAAAAAAAGAGACAAUGCGAGUGGUAGGGACAAUACCCUCCAAGUCAUCAAUCGAGUGUCCAAUUACAUAAGCAUAGCUAUAAAGCACAUGUUUAGGAUGAUAGAGAUCAGCAAGGUCAACACUAACAUGAAGAUGACAUUUAUCAUUAAGCUCAAAACUAGUAUGAGAAUGAUAUGUUUCAUUAAGCAUAGGUCUAGCAUGAUGAAAGUAACUAUGAUCAUCCCUAAUGUGAGUAAUGCCACUAACAAGGUAUAUAUGAUCAUAUCCAAGAAAAUACCUUUUCAAAUCUACUUUAACAGAUGGCAUCAUGCAAUGCAAGGUAGUAGAAAACAAUUCAUAUGGACUCAUGUAAUCAAGAGGAUUAGAUAAACCUGCUACAUCACGCUCUUGUGUGACAAUAGGCAAAUGAAUUUCUGGUUCUUCAAGUGCAUCUACAGCAGCUUCUUUUGCUUCUUCAAGAGUAGUAGAUGAUGAGUCUUCAACUUGAUUACUUGGUUGUUCGAGCUCUGGAUCAUCUUGUGCCUUGGCUUCGAGUAGAUCUUCAAUCUGAGGUCUCUCUUCCUCUGGAUCUUCUAUGGUGCUACUACCAGCAACACUUAAUUGAGUCUGAAGUGUCCCCAUCUGUGAAUAUUCACUAACAUGAUCUGGUAGGGGUGCUGAGAUCACUACCUCACUGUCUUUCUGAACAAUGUUCUCCUCAUCACCAUCAUUGCUAAGUUUCAACAGUGACACCGAUGACUUCCACCAGUCAUGCAACUCAGCAACACAUGGGAUCUUCUCAGGAUAUUGAAGUAUCAGCUCUUCUAAAUUUGACUCAACCUCUUGUAUCUCUCUCCUUGGAAUGUCUCCGACUUGCUUAAUUGUAUGUGCAGGAGUUGGAAUCUCAUCUUUGCUAUUCUUCUCUGAGAUACUCUCUUUAACUGUGAUAGAGGUAACCACUGGUGGAGCUAAUGAUUUCUUCUUGACAAAUAGUCCAGAUACAGUUGUAACACAAGUGUGGGCAAUUGGUGACACGACUAAAUUCCACCAGUCAGAUAGCUGACUAACACAAGUGAAUUUAUCCAUAUCUUGCGGUCUCAACUUAGCGUCAAUCAGAGUAGGUUCCUCAUAAACCUCUUCUUGCAACUUUGACUCAUUCUGAACAGUUUCAUUGCCAUGAGGUAUUGGAUCUGCUACUGUGGUAUCCAUCUGAUCUACAGUGAUUGCAUCAUCUUGGAAAAUAUCAUAAUCAUCAUCAAGGAUAAUUGAAGUAAGAUCAAUGUUUCUAUAUGGAGGCUCUAAUUCAGUUCUGAAAUAUUGUUGUCCCUAGAAUGAAACAUGCUGGUUUUGAAUAUUAGGCACCAUGGAUGAUUUCUGUUCACUUAUGGAACACACAACUUCUGAUUGCACACAGCUUGCAACCUUUGGAUUUGAACUAGGCCCUUCAUAACCCCAUUGCAUUUGGUGGAAGGCAAUGCUCUCAAUGAGAAUAAUUGCACCCUCAACGGUCUUGUUCAUGAUUGUUCCACCAGCUGACAUAUCAAUAAGAUCUCUUGAAGCAUGUGUCAGCCCUCUAUAGAAUAUCUGAAGCACUAACCAAUCCUUUUGCCCAUGAUUAGGACAUAUUCUAAGGAAAUACUUAUAUCUCUCCCAAGCUGCAUACAAGCUCUCACUUCCAUCUUGCACAAAACUGGGGAUCUGGUCACGAAUUGGAGCUUGCUUGUAAAGUGGAAAAUAUCUAUGCAGGAAAGCUUGCGACAUAUCACCCCAAGUGUAUGAUCUUGAUGGCAAAGAAUAGUACCAGUCCUUAGCAGCAUCUCUAAGAGAGAAUGUGAACAACAUACACUUGAUAGCAUCUUGGGAAAUGCCAUGGUACUGGACUGUAUUGGCAUACUCCAGAACAUUACUAAUGUGCUCAUGAGGGUCUUCAUUGGGUAAUCCUCUAAACUGAUUCUGCAAGACAAGAGCAAUAAGUCCAGGCCUCAAGUCAAAAUUUCGGCUUCAAUAGAUGGCCAAAUUGGCCCUGUCAUCAUGUCCAAACUACUUGGCAACCAAAGAUCACGUACUAAAGCCAUAUGUUCAAGUGCAACUGUCAAUGAGCCUACAAAUAGUAAGAUAUCCUACACACGCUCACAAACAUCAAAGACUGGUGAGAGGGUUAGUACCCUAAUAAGUCGAAGCAACAAAAAGUAAAAAGGUAAAAGAAACACAGAAAUAAAUUUGACAGGAAAUUUAAACAAAAACUAUACUAAGCCUAAUCUAUAGCUUCACACAAUCGCUCGAUGCUAGUCCCCGGCAACGGCGCCAAAAUAAUCAAUUGUAAUAUAGUGGGGUUUUUACGCCCCAAACUACGAGUGUCGUGUUCUCCUCAGGGACUAGGCAAACAAGGUGAACACACAAUUAUACUAGCAGAUUACUCAAUCACAGAGCAAGAUUUCUAGGACAAUUAAUUCUCACAGCCUUCAGAAAUACAAGUCAAGUAUUAUAUAUUACAACUACCAAACAGAACAAGCUACAGGUUGCCAGCACUCUUAAAAUCUGAAUAUUACAAAGCAUUACACAUCUCCUAUUACAGAAAAUUUAGAGAAGAUAGAGAGGGAGAAAGAGAGCAGCAGUAGCAGCAAGGUAGGGAAGGGAGCAGCAGUAGGGGGCGUGAGGAGAGAAGCAGCAGUAAGGCGAGGGAAGAAGAACAGCAGGGAAGAGGAACAACUGGUUCGAGUUGAGAAGUGGAGGAGCAACACCAAGGCGAGGGAAGAAGGAGCAGCAGCAAGACGUAGGAGAAGAAGAAGAGCAGCAGGGGCGCGAGGUGCGGGGAAGCGCUGUGGUGCUG
rnacentral:lncRNA from 1 species